GGGCGAUGAUUUAUGAAAAUUAUACCAUCAAACUAGCUUCUGAGAGCUUGUUGAUGUCAAUCUAAAUCAUCUAUGAGCCU
rnacentral:snoRNA from 1 species